CUGGCUCAGGAUGAACGCUGGCGGCGUGCCUAACACAUGCAAGUCGAGCGAUUCUCUUCGGAGAAGAGCGGCGGACGGGUGAGUAACGCGUGGGUAACCUGCCUCAUACACAUGGAUAACAUACCGAAAGGUAUGCUAAUACAGGAUAAUAUAAGAGAUUCACAUGGAUUUCUUAUCAAAGCUCCGGCGGUAUGAGAUGGACCCGCGUCUGAUUAGCUAGUUGGUAAGGUAACGGCUUACCAAGGCGACGAUCAGUAGCCGACCUGAGAGGGUGAUCGGCCACAUUGGAACUGAGACACGGUCCAAACUCCUACGGGAGGCAGCAGUGGGGAAUAUUGCACAAUGGGCGAAAGCCUGAUUGUAGCAACGCCGCGUGAGUGAUGAAGGCCUUCGGGUCGUAAAACUCUGUCCUCAAGGAAGAUAAUGACGGUACUUGAGGAGGAAGCCCCGGCUAACUACGUGCCAGCAGCGGC
rnacentral:rRNA from 1 species